AUACGGAGGGGGUUAGCGUUGUUCGGAAUUACUGGGCGUAAAGCGCACGUAGGCGGAUUGGAAAGUUGGGGGUGAAAUCCCAGGGCUCAACCCUGGAACUGCCUCCAAAACUAACAGUCUAGAGUUCGAGAGAGGUGAGUGGAAUUCCAAGUGUAGAGGUGAAAUUCGUAGAUAUUUGGAGGGACACCAGUGGCGAAGGCGGCUCACUGGCUCGAUACUGACGCUGAGGUGCGAAAGCGUGGGGAGCAAACAGGAUUAGAUACCCGGGUAGUCC
rnacentral:rRNA from 1 species